UCUGCCCCUUUCCCACUUGCAUGCAUGCUCGCACUCUCAAAAAUAACAACAACAACAACAACAAUGUAUGCCCUAGUGUGCAUGUGAGGACUUGGAAACAACCACUUUGUCCUUAGAGGAAGAAAAAGUUGAAUAGACUGAAAAACAAACCACAAACAACUCUCUUGGAUCCAUAAGAGAGGGGAGGACACGGGGCAAACUACUGCCCCCAAGAUUAGAGGGACAGACAGGCAAAUAAAGGAGUCACAUCUUACCUGAGCAGAGACUCACGAAUGGAAAGCACCUCAGGAACCAGUGCUAGGAACAGAACAACAAAACACAUACCUCUAGACUACCCUGGAACCUGCUGACCUCAGUGUACUUGUGGAGAGCUGAGCUGCAAUGAUGCCCUGGCCAUCCAUUGUUCCGUGUCCUGUUUGUAAGACAUGAAGUGGAUAUUUCACUAUGUACUGGAGUACCUGGAUGGCAGCAUGACAUAAUGGCAAGUUUAACCCUACCUAUGGAGUCCCAAGUUUGACUACUAGCUUCUCUACCUUACUAGCUAUUUGACCUAAAGCAAGUAAUCCGA